rfam:Schistosoma rodhaini strain Burundi genome assembly, scaffold: SROB_scaffold0001641
GCACUGCUGAGGUGUCCCAUAAUAGGACAAAACAACUGUCCAGUGC